AUUUCGAAGCGAGAGAUGAGCUUCUUUAUUUUUUAUUUGUAGAUUAUGAGUUAAAAAUUGUUGAAACCGAGUAUUUUCGUUUAUGCUGUUAGAAAUUUGAAGAGCUGCAUAAGCCAAGUGGAGAAUCUGAAUCCAAGUGGUGCAUCUGAAUAUGAUAUUAUGAAAAAGGCAAAGAAAUUAUUGGUUCAAAAUUCAAAACUGAAAAAAGGUUUUAAAUUUGACCAUGUGUGGGUUUUGAUGAAGGAUAUCCCAAAAUUUACCGACAAUGUUAAUUUUGGUAGUCCAAACACUCAAGAAAGCAAUGUUGCUGGUUCUCCAACAUCACAAUCUCCGGGAUUGUCUUCAUUUUCAAUCAACUUAAGUAGUGAUGAUGGUGGAUCAAAUUCAUCACAGCGUCCCAUUGGAUCAAAGAAAGCAAAACUCAAAAGAAAAAUCUCAGAAGGUAACAAUUCUUCAGUUGACACUUUGGUUUCAUCAAAUGAACAAGUCAUUGGUUUUUUAAAAACAAAUGCAUCAGCUAGGGAGAAGAAUUUUGAAUUAACUCAGCUACAUAUGCAAAACCAAGUAAAAAAACUAGCCGUUAAAGAAAUGCAUGAAGAGAAUAAAAUGUUGUUAACAAACCUAGAAUCUAUCAGUGAUCAUACUACUCGUGAGUUUAUUCGAUCUGAACAAGAAAGAAUUAUAAAGAAAAGAACUCGAGGACAACAACAGCCUCCCAAUGCACCAACUUUUUAUGGACAACUUUUUAGUGAUAUUGAAGGUUCGGGAUCAGGUUUACCAGAAUAUUAGUAUAAUUGUAAUAUUGCUUAUGUAAUUUUAUUUUAUGCAUUUUUAGUUUUUGUAUUAACUUGUUUGAUGUAAUAUUGUCUUGUAUAAUAUUUGUUUAAUAUUAUUAAAAUAUUAUGCUUUGUUUUUAUUUAAUCAUUUAUAUAUUUAUUGAAAUUUAUAUGUAAAAGUUGAAUUUAUAAGAAUAUAUAAAAGAUAUUAAAUUGUAUGGACUAAAAUGAUAAACAAGAAAGUUAUGAAGAUUUUUAAAAGACAGAAAAAUAUAAAGACCAAAUAAAUAUGAAACCUCGAAUAUAAGGUUUUGUACAGUAAAGCCUCAAAUAUAAGGUUUCACUGUACAAAACCUUAUAAUUUGAAGUUUUAAAGUUGUUCUUGGAGUAGAUAAAACCUUAUAUUUAAGGUUUUAAGGUUGCUCUUGGAGAUGCUUUAAACAUGCUUUAAAUUACAAAAGUAAUACAUGUAUGUCUUAGACCAUCAUUAUCGGGAAUCCUUACUGGUGUCCUUAGAUAAAAUUGAUGAUUUAAUUAAAUCAAAACAAAAGAAAAGGAUUUUUAUCGAUCCUUGAUAGAGUAUUUUGGUGAUCGGUUUUAAGAGUGGUUUUUCAACCACGUGUCAGCACCACAUUUUUUUUCUUUCGUUGCUUUGUUUUCUCCGUUGGAGCUCUCCUCCAGGCUCAUCCGUCUUCAGGUAUCUGUGGCUGAGCUCGAGUGGUGGUAUCCUGUCCCGAAGCUUCGGAGUCGUCGCUUCUCCGUUACCAGCUCGCCGUCGCGUCUCACCUCCGCCUUGGGACUUCUUCAUCCUUCGAAUCAGGCUUGGCUCGUGGUGGUGAUUGAGUUCGUCUUCAGGCCAGCAGCACCGGACUCGCCCUCUGCAACUCCGAUCCUCAGAUCAGAUCCUGAACACGAUGAGGAAGCGUCAUCCCAAGGCGGCUUCAGAUUCGUCAUCAGAGCCAUCAUCUUCCACUCAACAAACCGAUAACAAUGAUGUCCUUGAUAAGAAGGUGGUUUAAUGUAAGAAGAUUGGGGAAAACAUGGUUCUCAGAGAGAGAAACACAAAUCUUGCAUACACGGAAGCGAGAGAGAUGAUAGUUGAGUUGAAAGAGAGAGCCAUGAAGCCUGGUAUCAGAGAGAGAAACACAAAGGUUGAUAUAGGAGUAGAGUUGUGGUGGCCAUUGGUUGGUGCUGGUUUGGUUGCAGCGUCCGCGUUCGUCUGCUACUCCAAGCUAAGGUGAUUUUUUUGAUUAAUACUUUGUUAUCGGAUGAGGAAUAACUGAUGACCAAGUUCUUAAGAUUGAUUUCAAGAAUGGAUUGUUAUACAGGUUGACUGUAACUUUGUUUUGGGUUUAUGAUGUUUUUGUUGUUGAUUGGGAAAACUUCAGUUUUUGGUUAUGCCACGAAUGAAUUUCAUAACUGUGCUUUAUCACACUUCUACUUGUCUCUCCUUUUUUUUUGGUCGAAGUCUUUCUCCUUUUCAAUUCACUGGAUUUCAGAGAGAAACAUGUUUUGCUUGACCAGUGCUUCUUCAUCUCAAGUCCAUGAGAAAAAGAAAACUUAAUAUAUUUGAGACGGUUUUGAAAGUGGUUCUUGGAAGAACAUAUCAAAGGUCUGACUGCAAGAAAUGAAGCAACUCAUUGUAGAUAAGUAAGAUUACAUCAAGACCAAGAAUCUUCAUAUCUGUGUUUUCCUAUAAGCCAUGGCGCAAGUUGCAUCCUUUUGAAGUGAUCUCAAAUGUUGUCUUUUUGGUAUAUAGUGACAAAAUUAGAAUGGAUAUGUUAGAGCUCUUCUCGAGUGUGGUUUCCGUAAAGUGUUUGUUUUUAACUGUGGUUUGAAUAUGUUAAUGUGAGAGGAGGAGGCUUUGGCAAUCAAAGCAGCAGGGAAGGCGUGGUAGCAGACUAUGAUCUCCGGCAGUGACUACACCAAGUUUGAGAGUUGAGACAUUGCAGAUCCAA